GUCUACAGCCAUGCCACCCUAAACAAACCUGAUGUCUCAUCUUGGAAGCUAAGCAGGGUCAGACCUGUUUAGUACUUGGAUGGGAGACCACCUAGGAAGACCAGGUGCUGUAGGCA
rnacentral:rRNA from 1 species